rnacentral:rRNA from 1 species
CCUACGGGUGGCUGCAGUGAGGGAUAUUGCACAAUGGGGGAAACCCUGAUGCAGCGACGCCGCGUGGGCGAUGACGGUCUUCGGAUUGUAAAGCCCUUUUCUAGGUGACGAGCAAGGACGGUAGCCUAGGAAGAAGUCUCGGCUAACUACGUGCCAGCAGCCGCGGUAAAACGUAGGAGGCAAGCGUUAUCCGGAGUUACUGGGCGUAAAGGGCGUGUAGGCGGUUGGAUAAGUGGAUGGUGAAAGGUCUCGGCUCAACCGAGAAAACGCCGUUC